CCUACGGGUGGCAGCAGUGAGGAAUAUUGGUCAAUGGACGAGAGUCUGAACCAGCCAAGUAGCGUGAAGGAUGACUGCCCUAUGGGUUGUAAACUUCUUUUAUAUGGGAAUAAAAUGUUCCACGUGUGGGAUUUUGUAUGUACCAUAUGAAUAAGGAUCGGCUAACUCCGUGCCAGCAGCCGCGGUAAUACGGAGGAUCCGAGCGUUAUCCGGAUUUAUUGGGUUUAAAGGGAGCGUAGGUGGAUUGUUAAGUCAGUUGUGAAAGUUUGCGGCUCAACAGUAAAAUUGCAGUUGAAACUGGCAGUCUUGAGUACAGUAGAGGUGGGCGGAAUGCGUGGUGUAGCGGUGAAAUGCUUAGAUAUCACGAAGAACUCCGAGUGCGAAGGCAGUUCACUGGACUGCAACUGACACUGAGGCUCGAAAGUGUGGGUAUCAAACAGGAUUAGAUACCCUAGUAGUC
rnacentral:rRNA from 1 species